rnacentral:rRNA from 1 species
UGCAAGUCGAGCGGGCGUAGCAAUACGUCAGCGGCAGACGGGUGAGUAACGCGUGGGAACAUACCUUUUGGUUCGGAACAACACAGGGAAACUUGUGCUAAUACCGGAUAAGCCCUUACGGGGAAAGAUUUAUCGCCGAAAGAUUGGCCCGCGUCUGAUUAGCUAGUUGGUGAGGUAACGGCUCACCAAGGCGACGAUCAGUAGCUGGUCUGAGAGGAUGAUCAGCCACAUUGGGACUGAGACACGGCCCAAACUCCUACGGGAGGCAGCAGUGGGGAAUAUUGGACAAUGGGCGCAAGCCUGAUCCAGCCAUGCCGCGUGAGUGAUGAAGGCCCUAGGGUUGUAAAGCUCUUUUGUGCGGGAAGAUAAUGACGGUACCGCAAGAAUAAGCCCCGGCUAACUUCGUGCCAGCAGCCGCGGUAAUACGAAGGGGGCUAGCGUUGCUCGGAAUCACUGGGCGUAAAGGGUGCGUAGGCGGGUCUUUAAGUCAGGGGUGAAAUCCUGGAGCUCAACUCCAGAACUGCCUUUGAUACUGAGGAUCUUGAGUUCGGGAGAGGUGAGUGGAAACUGCGAGAUGU